UAGGUGGCGAGCGUUGUCCGGAAUUACUGGGUGUAAAGGGAGCGUAGGCGGGAUAUUAAGUUGAAUGUAUAAACUAUCGUCUUAACUGGUAGAAGCGUUCAAAACUGAUAUUCUUGAGUGAAGUAGAGGCAGGCGGAAUUCCUAGUGUAGCGGUGAAAUGCGUAGAUAUUAGGAGGAACACCAGUGGCGAAGGCGGCCUGCUGGGCUUUAACUGACGCUGAGGCUCGAAAGCGUGGGUAGCAAA
rnacentral:rRNA from 1 species